UACGUAGGGGGCAAGCGUUGUCCGGAUUUAUUGGGCGUAAAGAGCGUGUAGGCGGCUUUACAGGUCCGUUGUGAAAACUCGAGGCUCAACCUCGAGACGCCGGUGGAAACCGUAAAGCUAGAGUCCGGAAGAGGAGAGUGGAAUUCCUGGUGUAGCGGUGAAAUGCGCAGAUAUCGAGGAGGAGCACCCGUGGCGAAAGCGGCUCUCUGGGACGGUACUGACGCUCAUGCACGAAAGCGUGGGGAGCAAACAGG
rnacentral:rRNA from 1 species